GUGAAUCUGUUGUGCUGGACUUGUCAUGGUGUUGGCAAAGCUGCGACAAUUCGAGAGCUUCAUGACCUCAUGAGACAAUAUGCCUCUCUUGUAUUGUGCGUAGUUGAAACCCAAAUCUCUAAGCCCAGGGUUGAAAACUUAUCUAGUACAUUAGGCUUUGAUAAUUCGUAUGCUAUUAGUAGUAAUGGAAGGAGCGGAGGGCUCGGUCUCUUUUGGAACAAUUCAAUAAACUUGAAGUAUCUAGUGGGGCAGCAAAAUUGGCAAAAGGAUUUUUUAUGGGAAGUGAUGACGAGACACUUAGGAGGGUUUGUCUUUAGGGACAUUGGACUUUUCAAUCUUUCCCUACUUGCUAGCCAGGCCUGGCGACUUUGGCAGCAACCAGAGAUGUUAAGUGAAAGAAUUUUGAAAGCUAGAUAUUAA
rnacentral:rRNA from 1 species